rnacentral:rRNA from 1 species
UACGGAGGGUGCGAGCGUUGUCCGGAAUCACUGGGCGUAAAGGGCACGUAGGCGGUUCGGUAAGUUGCUGGUGAAAUCCCGGGGCUCAACUCCGGGGCUGCCGGCAAGACUGUCGGACUUGAGCACGGCAGGGGCAGAUGGAAUUCCCGGUGUAGCGGUGGAAUGCGUAGAUAUCGGGAAGAAUACCAGUGGCGAAGGCGUUCUGCUGGGCCGUUGCUGACGCUGAGGCGCGACAGCGUGGGGAGCAAACAGG